rnacentral:rRNA from 1 species
GGUUGAGAAGGAUACUUUCUUUUGGGAAAAGAAUGAGAGGGCAAGACGGUAUGCGACGGAUGAUGUACUGUAUACGAGGGAUCUGUAUCACUUCUUUGAUAAUCCUGAGCCUGGUGAUACUGACAGCAUACUUACCUGUAUGGUUGCUGCUAUUCGCUGGCAUGGUUAUCCUGUUGAUCUACCAGGGAUAACACAGCUGCGUGAUGAUGCAGUAGCGGCUAUCAAGGCCCUUAGUUUCAAUGUCAAUAGCCCUGCCGUUUGUAAGAUCUAUCUCCAACAGGUCAUGAGCGGUAUCGAAUAUGGUAUGAUGAAAACAGACGGUAAGGUAUCAACAGGUAAGGUUAUCCUCGAAGAGAUUGCCAAGUGGACUAUUGAUGAAGUAUGUGAGGUC